CUGGGAUUGAGACUACUUUAGUUAGAGCAGGCUCUUCCAACUCAUGGCCCAUGGCCACAUGCGGCCCAGCAUGGCUGGCAAUGCAGCCACCCUUUGUUCCAUGCUAUGAAGGCAGAAGCUCCUCACUGCAGAGUGGCCCUGGACACACACUCAUUGCUCAGCAACAGCCAAACAAUCAGUGUGCCAUUAAGGCUAUGCCUAGUGAAUGAAACCAGGGCACGGGAAGAGCAGUUCUGCAUAGUGCUGACUCAAAUGAUGGGCUGGUUCAGCAAUGGUCCUCUGAAGCCCUGCAGCUAAUUUGUGAGCAACGGAUGACAGUUAGGGCUGAAGACAAGUUAUGUGACAGAUCCAUGGUAAGAUGGACUCACACAGCAGAGUUUAAUGAGAAAACACCUGAGCUGGCUCAGCAAUCAGCAGGGUCAGUACCCUUACCUGUUCCAACACUCACAAGCUAGUUAACCCUUCCUUGGUGCCAUGAUUACAUGAUUACCUUAAACCUGAAAGUAGCCAAGAGAAGGGAUGUUCUCUGGUCCCGGUGAGUUUUUUGUCUGAUGCCAC
rnacentral:lncRNA from 1 species